rnacentral:rRNA from 1 species
GAUGAACGCUGGCGGCGUGCUUAACACAUGCAAGUCGAACGGUGAAGCAGGAGCUUGCUCUUGUGGAUCAGUGGCGAACGGGUGAGUAACACGUGAGCAACCUGCCCCUGACUCUGGGAUAAGCGCUGGAAACGGCGUCUAAUACUGGAUAUGUGAUGUGACCGCAUGGUCUGCAUCUGGAAAGAAUUUCGGUUGGGGAUGGGCUCGCGGCCUAUCAGCUAGUUGGUGAGGUAACGGCUCAACAAGGCGACGACGGGUAGCCGGCCUGAACGGGUAACCGGCCACACUGGGACUGUGACACGGCCCAGACUCCUACGGGAGGCAGCAGUGGGGAAUAGUGCACAAUGGGCGCAAGCCUGAUGCAGCAACGCCGCGUGAGGGAUGACGGCCUUCGGGUUGUAAACCUCUUUUAGUAGGGAAGAAGCGAAAGUGACGGUACCUGCAGAAAAAGCACCGGCUAACUACGUGCCAGCCGCCGCUGUAA